UGACCCCAUCGAGCCACCACCCAAGGAAACCCCUCCAAAGGCCACAGAGGAGGAAGGCAGUGUUGUCAUUCUGGAUGCCAAGCUGUUCUACAAGCAGCAGGAGAAGGAGGUGGCAGAGAAGAUCAAGGAAAGCCUGGCAGUGACUGAGUAUGCCAAGCCAUCCAGUGCAUUGGUGCUGAGUGGUGUGUCCAGCAGUGUGGUGUAGUACACAGUGUUUGAAAUGCAGCUGUCCUUUACUGUGCUGGAUACAGAGGCCAGACAUUUGUGGGCAAACUGCUGGCAAAGACUGCUGAGGGACACUUUGAGGUUAUCCAGAGGUAUGCCAAGUAAGAAACAGAAGAGAAUGUUACAAGGAGGAGGCAGCAGGCACCUGCCAAAAUGAUAAUUACUCCCAGUGAUGUCUAAAGCACUGGAUGAUGGGGUGCUGUGAACUUAUCAUUAAACGCAGCUGUGACCUCAAUGAAUGUUUCCCUUUGUGUCUCACAAGAAAAGGGGACAGUCACAGCCUGCUCUCUAAAGACAACUCUCUUCCUUCACACAAAACUACAAGCAUCUAAUUACACACACACCCUUCACUCAAUUAUCAUGGAGACUCCUACACCAGCCUCAUAGAGUCACCAUCGGGGGAGGGGACAACAAAUGUCCCCAGGACUGGUGGUGUAUCCCUCACAUCUGGUCAUCAAGGAGUACCCCAUGGUCAAGUCCUUGCACACCGAUCUGUUCUGAUGGAAGCAGUUGGAGGGUGUGGAGGAUGUGUUGGAGGAUGGAGUGCUGAGUAUGUUGCUGCAGUCAGUAGACAUGCUGGCUGCUGGCUGACGGAGUGUACUGUGGCCCUGUUGAUUUCACUCUCAGCAAUGACUCCAAGAAGACCAUAGCAGAGUACCAGUCACUUUCAUUUAAGUUUUCUAUUCAUUUCACUAAUUCUUUUCACUCUCUAUUUCUUAUAGCCAUUUUCACUACUCUUUCUUAUUCUCCUCUCUCCCUCCAUGUCUCACAGCCAUUUUCAUCGUCCUUUUCUAGUUCACUAAUUCUUCUCACUUCCUCUGCUUCGAGAUAACUGGACCACAGGAGCAUGUUGCCACAGCUCUAGGGAAACUGUGCACAUCCCUCAGCAGUAACAUAGCUAUCCCAGUAGCGACAGGAUACUUAGACACUCACUACAAUGCAAGGAAAGUUUACGUCGAGGACCAGAUCUUGCGCUGCUCUUGGAGAAACAUUGUGCAUCUCUUGAACAAGAGUGAGACUGGGGACCCUCUUCUAGAUAAUCGGAAUGGUUCUGAAGUUAGCCUUGUGUCUUCUGUCCCUAAGGAUCCUCCAGUCCUUGCAUCUCCCCUUUGGCACCAUAUCUUGUGCUGCUCUCAGAAAAAAGUGCUUCUCUGGAAUGAAACUGAGAGUGAGGAUGGUGUUUCAGGUGCUGGGAAUAGUACUGAACUUAGUCUCAUUUCUGGUGUCCCUGUGCAUCUCCCAGUCCUUAUAUUAAUGUGAUGUCUUGCUAACUCUCAUGCUGUCUCACUCAGUUUGGUACAAUUGUUUACUGCAAGUUUAGAGUUUAGUUUUCAAUGUAAGGUCACUGAUAGUAAAAGGAGUGGUUGAAUGCUUCUCUUUCUCAUCUUGUCUUCCUUUUCCUUGUCCUCUUCCUCAUUUACUUGCAUUUCUCUCAUUCUCUACCUCCUGGUCUUUUCCUUCAUCCUUCUCUCUCUCUCUCUCUCUCUCUCUCUCUCUCUCUCUCUCUCUCUCUCUCUCUCUCUCUCUCUCUCUCUCUCUCUCUCUCUCUCUCUCUCUCUCUCUCUCUCUCUCUCUCUCUCUCUCUCUCUCUCUCUCUCUCUCUCUCUCUCUCUCUCUCUCUCUCUCUCUCUCUCUCUCUCUGCAGGAUGGCCAAGGAAAUCCAUCUCAAAUACCCAGAGAUCCUCCAUGCCGCUCACCCCUUCUUCCUCUCCCUCAAGUUUGUGGGUGCUGGUGGCUCUCUCCUGGAUGGAGCAGUUUUCGUGGAUCUAUUUACCUGAGAACAACUUGUCAACAAUUCCUGUGGAUGUCGUCAUCAGCAAGGUCAGUGUUAGAUACCAACUUGCUGCUCAGGUGUCUGUUGUACCUGCUGGUUGGCAUCUCCACUUUGUCUCUCCUGGUAAGCAAGUAUGUAUGUGUAUGUGUAUCUAUUGAUUUAUUUCUGUGUGUAUUGUGUCUGUCUAUCUGUGUGAAUGUGGAGAGUUUGGGGUGAAUCUUGCUUGAUACCUGAUGUGGAUGGAUUGCUGUGUGCCUCUCAGUGCAGCAGCCUGUCAGUCCAGACGGCAUUUGACAGCUGUUUCUCACUCCACAUAUUUACACAAAGGUGCUGACAGAUUAGCAGCAGGAGUGGGAACUGCAGUGGCUGUAACUCAUAUGACUUCACUGGUACCAAUCCAGACCACCUGGCUUCCCCAGGGACAGGCUUGUGUCACCCUGACCUUACCUCUACCUAUACAUCUAC